rnacentral:lncRNA from 1 species
CUAGACAAUAUUUGACUGUCAGUUUCAGUCAAGCUAACUGGACUUAUAAUUUUAAUUAACAGAGUACACUGAAUCAUGGAAUCAUGCCAGUGAAUCUAUCUUCUGUAAACAAGGCUAGUGAGUCUGGCAGACUUCUGUAAAAGAAAUCAGACAAACCUUGAUGUGUACCCUUGAAUCAGUUCAGGUUUUAGUAUUCAGGGAUGUAUUUGUGAACUGGAUAAUUGAGAGAGACACUGGAAGUCUAAACAAGAUUGAAAAUACAAUACAGUAUUCUGGGAAGUAUGAAAUAACAUCAACCUUCAAGUAUGACAAAUGUUCGUGAAACCUGGAGAGCAUGUCACCUUGGUACAUUGUCCUUGGGAGGGAAGGACAAACAAAGCAAGGUGAGAUGGGAAGCAAAAGGGAAU